rnacentral:lncRNA from 1 species
AGGGUUUCCACCAACUUUGAGUAUCAUUAAUCAGAAGUAUUGGGUUCCUUGUUAUUCCGAGAGGAACAGGAAGUUGUUUACAGCAUUAAUACUCUCGAAUAUUGCUUGCGCGAAGCCAUUCUGCGGGAACUGAAGAUGCAACAUUUGAGGCCAUAGGAGUGCUCCUGAAAGAAUUGGCGUAUGGUGUAAAUAGUAAGUGACGAGACAUGUUCAAAGCAGAAAUUGAAGCCAAAGGGUACUUUUAUGCAAGCAGAUAUAUGCUCCCCUUGGGACAAUAUUUGUCGUUCAAUUGACGAAAUACUUAAAAGAGAGGAUCAUCAGCUUACCAAAGUCCUUUUUGGAGGUAUAGCGCCACAUCUUUUGUUAUUUUGGCAACAACUAUUGUACUAAACAAUGUCAAUGAGUAGUAACAACCUUCUUUGAUGGGAUUUGACAUUUCAAUCUUGUACAAAAUUGUCUGCUGAUGGUUUCUUUUGUAUCGGAAGUAUAACAGACAGAAACCAAUGUAAAGUAAUAUGAACUCCAAUUUCUGUUAUGGUUUCCAUGUUUCCCAAGUAACAUGCGAUCCUACAACUGUUAGGUUAAUAGGGGACAUUUUUGAAGCAGGAGCUUCAUCUACUCUUUCCGUGAGACUAGUCCAUGAUUUCUUUACUAUGAUCACAAGUAAUAUUAGCUCGCAAUUAAUAGAAAAUUUGUUAUGAUGCAUGUUCAAUGUCCUUCCUUUUUUUCUUUGGGGGGAGAGGGGGGAGGGAGGGGGGAGUUUGUUACAAUCUAUGUUUCUUAGCUUGUAUGGCUUUUUGUAAUGUUCAAGAUAUUAUCAGUAUGCUCAUUUAUUUGAUUCACUGAUCUUGGAUAAUUUAAUGUACACAAGUUGCUUGACCUUGGUUUAUACUACUCGAGUAUGUGAAACUUGAUUAUCCUUCAGAAUCUCACAUAGGGAAAUUCUUCAUUGCAGUUGCUGCACCGCCAUGCAUAUCCCAACGAUUAAAAUCAUUCAUCCAGUUGGCUGAUGCUUUAGACUGGAUGCGCCCCAUGUUCGCGAUCCCAAGCUUUUGUCCCUAGCAAAUAUACAGAACUCAAUACUUAAUUUUUGAUGCAGAGAAUGUUCACAAGUUGUCUCCGUGUGACCUAUUGAUUAGGGGUUCGAGCCAUGGAAUCAGCCACUGAUGCUUGCGUCAGGGUAGGUUGCCUACAUCACAUCCUCUUGGGGUGCGGUCCUUCCCCGGACCUUGCGUGAACGCGGGAUGCUUUGUGCACCGGGCUGCCUUUUAAGGUUCACAAGUUCUAUUUACCAUUGUUUAUCACAACAGAGUGCACAAAGCCCAAAAGGCAGCUGUGAGAUAUGAAAAGGGGAGAAUGUAACUAUGGUAAGUGACAAGAGCCCUGGAUAAGUGCAGGCUACAGUGGGGGAACAACUUACACCAAAACUAAAUUAUUACUUAUGACUUUGUUUGUAGGGCCAAAGGGUGUACAUAUUUUCCAUCAAUGGGCCAAAUUGAUAUUUUUCCUCUUCUGCUUGUUCUUUUUCACCAUGUUGUUAAACAGAGAUAAUGAAAAGAAAGGAAUUAUUGUAGUUGUUUAAACUGG